CCCGACGGAGCUCUGAGGUCCUAGUGAGCCUCACAUUAUUAGGCUCUGAGUGCUGGGGGGAUUUUUCAGAAACAAAAGAAAAGCUUCUAAAUUUUAAAGAGUGACUAAUCCAUGUGAAAGGAUGGGACAUAAUGACCAACAAUACAGGGCAGUGGCAUUUUUAAAUAGUGCCAACAAUAAGAGCACUUGUAAUUCAGAGGGAGAAGGGGUUUCUGGGAAGAUGGUUAGAAGGGGCUUAAAGGAGGCUUAAUUGAAGAGCCUUAAAAGAAAGACCAAAUUUAGUUUUUCAGUGCCUUCUCUAGCUUUCUAGAAGUUGUUAUGAGUGGACCUGACUACCUAGAGAGAGUAAUACAGAAGCUCCGUGCCGAUCACAGCUACCUCAUUACCAUGUUCCUCCAAGAUGGCCGCCCCUGAGGAGAAUCAUCAACUGGGCUUUACGGAAGAGAGAAAUCCAAACGACCAUCAGCAACAAAUGAAAGACUGAAGUUGAAAGGAAAUCCAUAAUUUUUGAAUGCUGGCCGAGGUCUGUGACCUCUGACUGAAUGGUUUCCAAGCUCCGAAUUCCUAGGUGAUGUUUUCAUUUGUUCACACUUGCUGAAGAAGGGAAAGGCUCUCUGAUUUACGUGUAAGCAAAACAAUCUAAACAGUAGGAUAAAAUCAUGUUGGAAUGGAGUUCUGUGUGGAUGCUCCUUUGAACCAAAUCAGUUCCACAACUGACCCUGUCAGGGACAUAUAAAUUUAGCAUUUUGGUGUGGAUACAGAAGACGAGAUUAACACAGAUCAAGUAACAUGGAAAUAAAAAAGGAGACAAUGCUGGAUGAUACAGGGGCAGCCAACAAGAGGAGAAAACCCAAGCAUUGGCAAAUGCCUCAUUAUCCAAAGAACACUUGUUUCAGGUGGAAAAAAAUUAUUCUUCAAUAUUCGUAAGAAUGAGAUUGGAUAAAGGACACAAAUGAAGUCCAGACCAAGUACAAAAACAUGAGCUCCUUCUCCUGGCUGCUCAACUAAUGCAGACUUAGCCUGAGGAUGAGAUAACUAUCUCAACAGCCAUUCCAUUGCUCAGACUUCAAAUUAUAGUAAUUAUGACAAUUUGUGCCAAUAGCCACGAGGUGGGAUUUUUGAUGUGGUUAAAAAUAACAUCUGUAAAACCCAAUAAAAAUUACA
ensembl:lncRNA LINC01206 long intergenic non-protein coding RNA 1206